CUUGAACGCUGGCGGCAGGCCUAACACAUGCAAGUCGAACGAGUGGCGGACGGGUGAGUAAUGUCUGGGAAACUGCCUGAUGGAGGGGGAUAACUACUGGAAACGGUAGCUAAUACCGCAUACCAUCGGAUGUGCCCCGAUGGGAUUGGCUAGUCGGUGGGGUAAAGGCUCACCUAGGCGACGAUCCCUAGCUGGGCUUAGAGGAUGACCAGCCACACUGGACUUGAGACACGGGCCAGACGCCGACGUGAGGCAGCAGUGGGGAAUAUUGGACAAUGGGCGCAAGGCUGAUGCAGCCAUGCCGGGUGUAUGAAGAAGGCCGUCGGUUUGUAAAGUACUUUCAGCGGGGAGGCGUUACCCGCAGAAGAAGCACCGGCUAACUCCGUGCCAGCAGCCGCGGUAAUUC
rnacentral:rRNA from 1 species